rnacentral:rRNA from 1 species
GAGUUUGAUCCUGGCUCAGGAUGAACGCCGGCGGUGUGCCUAAUACAUGCAAGUCGAACGCGUUGGCCUAACUGAUUGAACGUGCUUGCACGGACUUGACGUUGGUUUACCAACGAGUGGCGGACGGGUGAGUAACACGUAGGUAACUUGCCCCAAAGCGGGGGAUAACAUUUGGAAACAGAUGCUAAUACCGCAUAACAGUUUGAAUCGCAUGAUUCAAACUUAAAAGAUGGUUUCGGCUAUCACUUUGGGAUGGACCUGCGGCGCAUUAGCUUGUUGGUAGGGUAACGGCCUACCAAGGCUGUGAUGCGUAGCCGAGUUGAGAGACUGAUCGGCCACAAUGGAACUGAGACACGGUCCAUACUCCUACGGGAGGCAGCAGUAGGGAAUCUUCCACAAUGGGCGCAAGCCUGAUGGAGCAACACCGCGUGAGUGAAGAAGGGUUUCGGCUCGUAAAGCUCUGUUGUUAGAGAAGAACGUGCGUGAGAGCAACUGUUCACGCAGUGACGGUAUCUAACCAGAAAGUCACGGCUAACUACGUGCCAGCAGCCGCGGUAAUACGUAGGUGGCAAGCGUUAUCCGGAUUUAUUGGGCGUAAAGCGAGCGCAGGCGGUUUGAUAAGUCUGAUGUGAAAGCCUUUGGCUUAACCAAAGAAGUGCAUCGGAAACUGUCAGACUUGAGUGCAGAAGAGGGCAGUGGAACUCCAUGUGUAGCGGUGAAAUGCGUAGA